GAUGAACGCUGGCGGCGUGCCUAAUACAUGCAAGUCGAGCGAACAGACGAGGAGCUUGCUCCUCUGACGUUAGCGGCGGACGGGUGAGUAACACGUGGAUAACCUACCUAUAAGACUGGGAUAACUUCGGGAAACCGGAGCUAAUACCGGAUAAUAUAUUGUACCGCAUGGUUCAAUAGUGAAAGACGGUUUUGCUGUCACUUAUAGAUGGAUCCGCGCCGCAUUAGCUAGUUGGUAAGGUAACGGCUUACCAAGGCAACGAUGCGUAGCCGACCUGAGAGGGUGAUCGGCCACACUGGAACUGAGACACGGUCCAGACUCCUACGGGAGGCAGCAGUAGGGAAUCUUCCGCAAUGGGCGAAAGCUUGACGGAGCAACGCCGCGUGAGUGAUGAAGGUCUUCGGAUCGUAAAACUCUGUUAUUAGGGAAGAACAAAUGUGUAAGUAACUAGGCACGUCUUGACGGUACCUAAUCAGAAAGCCACGGCUAACUACGUG
rnacentral:rRNA from 1 species